AUGGGCACGUCGAUCUUUCUGGUGGUGGUCGGGAAGAAACUGCAAAACGAUUUCCUCUUCGUCCACGCCCAGAAACGCAUGAAUCUUCAGUGGACCGCGUACGUGGCUGGCUGGCCCGACCGAUCGGCCGAUCCGCGCGGCAUUUAUUGCGGAAAGAGAUGGAUGGAUAAUCAGAUGGGUGCAUGCAUUAAGUCCCAGCUCAUCCGUCACAUCCACGGUGGGGCAGACGUGCUCAUCCUGAUGGAUGUGCUCCGGCCCAAGCCAGCAGCCACCAAGCGAUUUGGCCUUUUACAAAAGGCGGAGAUAUAUGGGAUACAGAUAGAGAUUUCCGAAAGGAUUGUCGAGAUCAUGCUUGUUGAGAUCGAUUCUUUUCGGCCAGAGACGUGUCCGCUUGUUUCAUCAGAGUUCAUGAAAAUGAAACAGCAGCAGUAUACAUAUGUUGUGUUCUUUUGUCGAUAA
rnacentral:rRNA from 1 species